GUUCCUGGCUCAGGAUGAACGCUGGCGGCGUGCUUAACACAUGCAAGUCGAACGGACUUGGAUGUCGGAAGUUUUCGGAUGGAAGAUAUUCAAGUUAGUGGCGGACGGGUGAGUAACGCGUGGGUAACCUGCCCUGUACCGGGGGAUAACACUUAGAAAUAGGUGCUAAUACCGCAUAAGUGCACAGAGUCGCAUGACUUAGUGCAAAAAACUCCGGUGGUACAGGAUGGACCCGCGUCUGAUUAGCUGGUUGG
rnacentral:rRNA from 1 species